rnacentral:tRNA from 1 species
GCGGAGGUUCCAGAGCGGACAAAUGGGCUAGACUAAGGAUCUAGUGGCUUAGUGCCUACGCAGGUUCGAAUCCUGUCCUCCGCA